rnacentral:rRNA from 1 species
GGGGGAAUAUUGGACAAUGGGCGAAAGCCUGAUCCAGCCAUGCCGCGUGUGUGAAGAAGGUCUUCGGAUUGUAACGCACUUUAAGUUGGGAGGAAGGGCAGUAAGCGAAUACCUUGCUGUUUUGACGUUACCGACAGAAUAAGCACCGGCUAACUCUGUGCCAGCAGCCGUGGUAAUACAGAGGGUGCAAGCGUUAAUCGGAAUUACUGGGCGUAAAGCGGGCGUAGGUGGUUCGUUAAGUUGAAUGUGAAAACCGCGGGGUCAACCUGGGAAAUGCAGCCAAAACUGGCGAGGUGGAGUAGGGGAGAGGGUGGUGGGAUUUCCUGGGUAGCGGUGAAAUGCGGAGAUAUAGGAAGGAACAACAGGGGCGAAGGCGACCACCUGGGCUCAUACUGACACUGGGGUGCGAAAACGUGGGGAGCAAACAGG